rnacentral:rRNA from 1 species
AGAGUUUGAUCCUGGCUCAGGACGAACGCUGGCGGCGUGCUUAACACAUGCAAGUCGAACGGAAAUAGUAGAGUAUUUAUAUGAAGCUAUUUUAGUGGCGGACGGGUGAGUAACACGUGGGUAACCUGCCCUAUGGAGGGGGAUAACACAUAGAAAUGUGUGCUAAUACCGCAUAACGUGACACCGGCGCAUGCCGGAGUCAUCAAAGAUUUAUUGCCAUAGGAUGGACCCGCGGCCCAUUAGCUAGUUGGUGAGGUAACGGCUCACCAAGGCGACGAUGGGUAGCCGAUCUGAGAGGAUGAACGGCCACAUUGGAACUGAGACACGGUCCAGACUCCUACGGGAGGCAGCAGUGGGGAAUAUUGCACAAUGGGGGAAACCCUGAUGCAGCAACGCCGCGUGAGUGACGAAGGCCUUCGGGUUGUAAAACUCUGUCUUAGCUGACGAUAAUGACGGUAAGCUAGGAGGAAGCCACGGCUAACUACGUGCCAGCAGCCGCGGUAAUACGUAGGUGGCGAGCGUUGUCCGGAAUUACUGGGCGUAAAGGGAGCGUAGGCGGUUUUUUAAGUGGGAUGUGAAAUCCCCGGGCUUAACCUGGGAAUGGCAUUCCAAACUGGGAAACUAGAGUGCAGGAGAGGAAAGUGGAAUUCCAAGUGUAGCGGUGAAAUGCGUAGAGAUUUGGAGGAACACCAGUGGCGAAGGCGACU